CAAUAGCGUAUGCUAACGUUGUUGCAGUUAAAAGCUCGUAGUUGGAUUUUUAAGGAUGUCUGCUUCUAGUGACCUUUCGUGUCUCUAAAGUUGCAGACUCCCUUAUUUUGCCUCAGUGCUCGGUUGGGAUUCAUUUUCUGACCAAGCUUCCGGGGCGUGUUUACUUUGAGAAAAUUAGAGUGUUCAAAACAGUCUUGUGAUUGUAUAUCAUAGCAUGGAAUAAUAACUGAUGACGUCGGUCAUUUUUUGUUGGUUCGGGUGGCUGAAGUAAUGAUUGAUAGAGUUAGUCGGAGGUAUUAGUAUUUUAUCGUUAGAGGUGAAAUUCAUAGAUCGGUAAAAGACUAACAACUGCGAAAGCAUUUAUCUAGGAUUUGCUCUUUGAUCAAGAACGAAAGUUGGGGGAUCGAAGACGAUUAGAUACC
rnacentral:rRNA from 1 species